AUUGAACGCUGGCGGCAGGCCUAACACAUGCAAGUCGAACGAGUGGCGGACGGGUGAGUAAUGUCUGGGAAACUGCCCGAUGGAGGGGGAUAACUACUGGAAACGGUAGCUAAUACCGCAUACCAUCGGAUGUGCCAAGAUGGGUUUGGCUAGUAGGUGGUGUAAUGGCUCACCUAGGAGACGAUCCCUAGCUGGUCUGAGAGGAUGACCAGCCACACCUGAACGUCGACACCGUCGAGACUCCUACGGGAGGCAGCAGGGGGUAAUAUUGCACAAUGGGCGCAAGCCUGAUGCAGCCAUGCCGCGUGUAUGAAGAAGGCCUUCGGGUUGUAAAGUACUUUCAGCGAGGAGGCGUUACUCGCAGAAGAAGCACCGGCUAACUCCGUGCCAGCAGCCGCGGUAAUUC
rnacentral:rRNA from 1 species